rnacentral:misc_RNA from 1 species
UUUCCGUAGGUGAACCUGCGGAAGGAUCAUUCAUAAUAAGUGUUUUAUGGCACUUUUUUAAAUCCUUAUCCACCUUGUGUGCAAUGUCAGGGUUGAUUUUUUCUCUCGAGAGGAUCAGCCCCAAACAUCAACUAUAUCUCAACUCUUUGUCUGAAAAAUAUUAUGAAUAAAACAAUUCAAAAUACAACUUUCAACAACGGAUCUCUUGGCUCUC